rnacentral:rRNA from 1 species
CCUACGGGAGACAGCAGUGGGGAAUAUUGCACAAUGGGGGAAACCCUGAUGCAGCGACGCCGCGUGAGUGAAGAAGUAAUUCGUUAUGUAAAGCUCUAUCAGCAGGGAAGAAAAUGACGUUACCUGAGUAAGAAGCCCCGGCACACUACGUCCCGGCAGCCGCGGUAUAACGUAGGGGGCAACGGUUAUCCGGAUUUACUGGGUGUAAGGGGAGCGUAGACGGCAGUGCAGGUCUGGAGUGAAGGGCGGGGGCUCAACCCCGGACUGCACUGGAAACUGGACGGCUGGAGUGCAGGAGAGGUAAGUGGAAUUCCUAGUGUAGCGGUGAAAUGCGUAGAUAUUAGGAGGAACACCAGUGGCGAAGGCGGCUUACUGGACUGGAACUGACGUUGAGGCUCGAAAGCGUGGGGAGCAAACAGGAUUAGAUACCCCUGUAGUC